rnacentral:rRNA from 2 species
UACGGAGGGUGCAAGCGUUAAUCGGAAUUACUGGGCGUAAAGCGCACGCAGGCGGUCAAUUAAGUCAGAUGUGAAAGCCCCGAGCUUAACUUGGGAAUUGCAUCUGAAACUGGUUGGCUAGAGUCUUGUAGAGGGGGGUAGAAUUCCACGUGUAGCGGUGAAAUGCGUAGAGAUGUGGAGGAAUACCGGUGGCGAAGGCGGCCCCCUGGACAAAGACUGACGCUCAGGUGCGAAAGCGUGGGGAGCAAACAGG